GAUGAACGCUGGCGGCGUGCCUAAUACAUGCAAGUCGAGCGAACAGACGAGGAGCUUGCUCCUCUGACGUUAGCGGCGGACGGGUGAGUAACACGUGGAUAACCUACCUAUAAGACUGGGAUAACUUCGGGAAACCGGAGCUAAUACCGGAUAAUAUAUUGAACCGCAUGGUUCAAUAGUGAAAGACGGUUUUGCUGUCACUUAUAGAUGGAUCCGCGCCGCAUUAGCUAGUUGGUAAGGUAACGGCUUACCAAGGCGACGAUGCGUAGCCGACCUGAGAGGGUGAUCGGCCACACUGGAACUGAGACACGGUCCAGACUCCUACGGGAGGCAGCAGUAGGGAAUCUUCCGCAAUGGGCGAAAGCCUGACGGAGCAACGCCACGUGAGUGAUGAAGGUCUUCGGAUCGUAAAACUCUGUUAUUAGGGAGGAACAAAUGUGUAAGUAACUAUGCACGUCUUGACGGUACCUAAUCAGAAAGCCACGGCUAACUACGUG
rnacentral:rRNA from 1 species